UGGCGGCGUGCUUAACACAUGCAAGUCGAACGGAAAGGCCCUGCUUUUGUGGGGUGCUCGAGUGGCGAACGGGUGAGUAACACGUGAGUAACCUGCCCUUGACUUUGGGAUAACUUCAGGAAACUGGGGCUAAUACCGGAUAGGAGCUCCUGCUGCAUGGUGGGGGUUGGAAAGUUUCGGCGGUUGGGGAUGGACUCGCGGCUUAUCAGCUUGUUGGUGGGGUAGUGGCUUACCAAGGCUUUGACGGGUAGCCGGCCUGAGAGGGUGACCGGCCACAUUGGGACUGAGAUACGGCCCAGACUCCUACGGGAGGCAGCAGUGGGGAAUAUUGCACAAUGGGCGGAAGCCUGAUGCAGCAACGCCGCGUGCGGGAUGACGGCCUUCGGGUUGUAAACCGCUUUCGCCUGUGACGAAGCGUGAGUGACGGUAAUGGGUAAAGAAGCACCGGCUAACUACGUGCCAGCAGCCGCGGUGAUACGUAGGGUGCGAGCGUUGUCCGGAUUUAUUGGGCGUAAAGGGCUCGUAGGUGGUUGAUCGCGUCGGAAGUGUAAUCUUGGGGCUUAACCCUGAGCGUGCUUUCGAUACGGGUUGACUUGAGGAAGGUAGGGGAGAAUGGAAUUCCUGGUGGAGCGGUGGAAUGCGCAGAUAUCAGGAGGAACACCAGUGGCGAAGGCGGUUCUCUGGGCCUUUCCUGACGCUGAGGAGCGAAAGCGUGGGGAGCGAACAGGCUUAGAUACCCUGGUAGUCCACGCUGUAAACGGUGGGUACUAGGUGUGGGGUCCAUUCCACGGGUUCCGUGCCGUAGCUAACGCUUUAAGUACCCCGCCUGGGGAGUACGGCCGCAAGGCUAAAACUCAAAGGAAUUGACGGGGCCCCGCACAAGCGGCGGAGCAUGCGGAUUAAUUCGAUGCAACGCGUAGAACCUUACCUGGGUUUGACAUGGAUCGGGAGCGCUCAGAGAUGGGUGUGCCUCUUUUGGGGUCGGUUCACAGGUGGUGCAUGGCUGUCGUCAGCUCGUGUCGUGAGAUGUUGGGUUAAGUCCCGCAACGAGCGCAACCCUUGUUCACUGUUGCCAGCACGUUAUGGUGGGGACUCAGUGGAGACCGCCGGGGUCAACUCGGAGGAAGGUGGGGAUGACGUCAAGUCAUCAUGCCCCUUAUGUCCAGGGCUUCACGCAUGCUACAAUGGCUGGUACAGAGAGUGGCGAGCCUGUGAGGGUGAGCGAAUCUCGGAAAGCCGGUCUCAGUUCGGAUUGGGGUCUGCAACUCGACCUCAUGAAGUCGGAGUCGCUAGUAAUCGCAGAUCAGCAACGCUGCGGUGAAUACGUUCCCGGGGCUUGUACACACCGCCCGUCAAGUCAUGAAAGUUGGUAACACCCGAAGCCGGUGGCCUAACCGUUGUGGGGGAGCCGUCGAAGGUGGGACUGGUGAUUAGGACUAAGUCGU
rnacentral:rRNA from 1 species